rnacentral:rRNA from 1 species
UACGUAGGUUGCAAGCGUUAUCCGGAAUCACUGGGCGUAAAGGGUGCGUAGGCGGCCAAUAAAGUCUAGGGUGAAAGGCUACGGCUCAACCGUGGAGGGUCAUUGGAAACUGGAAAACUUGAGUGCAGAAGAGGAAAGUGGAAUUCCCAGUGUAGCGGUGAAAUGCGUAGAUAUUGGGAGGAACACCAGUGACGAAGGCGACUUUCUGGUCUGUAACUGACGCUGAGGCGCGAAAGCUAGGGGAGCAAACAGG